UUUGAUUGCCUGCUGUCCACACAUUUCCCUUGUUCGUCCCUAGGUGGCGCAUUCCAGAAAGAAAGCAUCUCCAGGGACGAGCUAGGUGUGGGACAGGAGGGGGUGCCUGCAGGGGCCGAGCUAUCCCGGAGAAGCAUUGGAGGAAGCCAGAUGACCCGAUCAAAGGACAUCAUCUAUCCAGUGAGUCUGCCCUGCCGGAAGGGGGAUUGUUGCUAGAGUCUUUAAAUGGUUUUGCUCUGGUGGUGAGUGCCGAAGGAAUGAUAUUUUAUGCAUCAUCAACUAUUGUGGACUAUCUGGGCUUUCAUCAGUGUCUUAUCAACCUGUUCUAUCUCCCCUCUGCACACCAGGAAUCCAUCAGCACUCUAGGAUGGAACUCAUGGUAUCCUAAGGACCCUAAAAUGCAGAAGUGGGUGGUGUGCUUCUGUCUGUGUAUAUGGGUGGAUGUGUACAUAGUUUUGUGUGUCUCUUCACCUGUUCAUGCGCAUCAGGGCGUGAGGAGGGAUGUGUGUCACUUUGGCUAUGUUUGCCUGUGUGUGCGUCUCAGAGAGAGUAGGAUGUGAAAGAUGAUAAAGAGAGAUGAGUAGGGUAGAAUCCAGUGAAGAUGACAAUGAU
rnacentral:lncRNA from 1 species